UACGUAGGGUGCAAGCGUUGUCCGGAUUUACUGGGCGUAAAGGGCGCGUAGGCGGCCUGUUAAGUCGAACGUGAAAUCCCUGGGCUCAACCCAGGAACUGCGUCCGAUACUGGCAGGCUUGAAUUCGGGAGAGGGAUGCGGAAUUCCAGGUGUAGCGGUGAAAUGCGUAGAUAUCUGGAGGAACACCGGUGGCGAAGGCGGCAUCCUGGACCGAUACUGACGCUGAGGAGCGAAAGCGUGGGGAGCAAACAGG
rnacentral:rRNA from 1 species